rnacentral:lncRNA from 1 species
CUGAGUUCACUGCUGCUCAGCCUGAGGUGGCCGACGGGUCUGAGGGUGUGCAGGUGCCCUCUAUGCCCAUCCAGCAGUUCCCCACGGAAGACUGGAGUGCACAGCCAGCCACUGAGGACUGGUCAGCAGCUCCCACAGCACAGGCCACUGAGUGGGUUGGAGCCACCACUGAGUGGUCCUGAGCUGCUCUGCAGGUGCCUGAACCAAGGGAAAAAAGGUGGAAGGAAAAUAAAGUUUCUGAAAGCUG